AACACGUGAGUAACCUGCCCCUGACUCUGGGAUAAGCCCGGGAAACUGGGUCUAAUACCGGAUAUGCACCGUGGACCGCAUGGUUCUUGGUGGAAAGAUUUUUUGGUCAGGGAUGGACUCGCGGCCUAUCAGCUUGUUGGUGAGGUAAUGGCUCACCAAGGCGACGACGGGUAGCCGGCCUGAGAGGGUGACCGGCCACACUGGGACUGAGACACGGCCCAGACUCCUACGGGAGGCAGCAGUGGGGAAUAUUGCACAAUGGGCGAAAGCCUGAUGCAGCGACGCCGCGUGAGGGAUGACGGCCUUCGGGUUGUAAACCUCUUUCAGUAGGGAAGAAGCGAAAGUGACGGUACCUGCAGAAGAAGCGCCGGCUAACUACGUGCCAGCAGCCGCGGUAAUACGUAGGGCGCAAGCGUUAUCCGGAAUUAUUGGGCGUAAAGAGCUCGUAGGCGGUUUGUCGCGUCUGCCGUGAAAGUCCGGGGCUCAACCUUGGAUCUGCGGUGGGUACGGGCAGACUAGAGUGAUGUAGGGGAGACUGGAAUUCCUGGUGUAGCGGUGAAAUGCGCAGAUAUCAGGAGG
rnacentral:rRNA from 1 species